ACUGUUGACAUCAAGAAUUCCGGUGUUGAUAAAUCUUUCAAGUUGACCACGGUGUAUGGUCCAACAAGAGGUAUUCAUAAAGAUGCCUUUUUCCUGGAGCUCGCCUCUCAGAAACCGCCGUCCGGCAUCAAAUGGCUUGUAAAUGGUGAUUUUAACCAAAUCUACCGCGCCAGAGAUAAGAACCGAGUCAAUGUCGAUCAUAGCCGACCUGUGCGCUUUCGCAAUGCCUUGAACACCUGUGAGCUUAAGGAGAUCCAUAUGCAAAAUAGGAAGUUCACCUAGAGCAAUGAACAACACAAUCCGACAAUGUGCAAGCUUGACAGUUUUUUCUGCAAUGAAGAUUGGGACUUGGCAUUUGGCACACACAUUCUACAUGCCCUCUCCUCUUCACUCUCAGACCACUGUCCUCUCUUGCUGGCUAAUGAUGCUGGACCCAAAAAACGCAAAUCAUUCCGCUUCGAAAAUUACUGGAUUAGGAUGUCGGGAUUCCAAAAAGUUGUUAGUGAUGCUUGGACGAAGAAUUCACCCCACGUUGAGCCGUUCCAGAUGCUAUUCCAUAAGCUAAAAAGAGCAAGCCAAAGACUUCGCACUUGGAGCAAGACCCUGUUUGCAAAUUCCAAGGUCCAACUUCACAUGGCACUUGAGGUCAUUCUCCACCUUGACAUGGCUCAAGAGCAGAGAGAGCUAAGUCCGGAGGAGAGGGACCUCCGUAAAAGGCUGAAAAGGAAGAUCAUUGGGUUGGCGGUGCUUGAAAAGACUAGAAAGCGUCAAAACUUGAGAAUUACAAACCUCAAGGAAGGAGAUGCCAACACCCGCUAUUUCCACCUCCGCGUCAAUCAUCGUAGGAGAAAGAACUUCAUCCAUCACCUCAAGCACAAUCAUGGAUGGGUCACAGCGCACGAUGAUUAA
rnacentral:rRNA from 1 species